GUGUAUGGCUACACCACCCUGAAGAUGCCCAAUCUUGUCGGAUCUCAGAAGCUAAGCAGGGUCAGGCCUGGUUAGUACUUGGAAGGCAGAAAUGUAUAGGGGAGAUCCCGUUGGGGCACAGU
rnacentral:rRNA from 1 species